UGGGUUGGCCAAAAAGUUCAUUUGGUUUUUUUGUCAGAUGUUAUAAGAAAACCUGAGUGAACUUUCUGGCCAACUGGAU
rnacentral:miRNA from 1 species